rnacentral:rRNA from 1 species
CACGUAGGGCGCAAGCGUUGUCCGGAAUUAUUGGGCGUAAAGAGCUCGUAGGCGGUCUGUUGCGUCUGCUGUGAAAACCCGGGGCUUAACCCCUGGCUUGCAGUGGAUACGGACAGACUAGAGGUAGGUAGGGGAGAAUGGAAUUCCCGGUGUAGCGGUGAAAUGCGCAGAUAUCGGGAGGAACACCGGUGGCGAAGGCGGUUCUCUGGGCCUUACCUGACGCUGAGGAGCGAAAGCAUGGGGAGCGAACAGG